CGUACUCCCAUCUUCCUCUUCUCUCUGCCACCGCCUUACUCCCUUCAACCCCGGCGGCUACUGCCGCCGCCAGCCACCACCGCCACGGUAUCCCCUCUGUAUGCCUCGCAUCUGCCUCCCUCUCGUUCCUUCUCUAAAUCAUGAAAAAUCCCCAAAAAUCCCUAGCUUCCUCCCCCAACAAUUUCCGGCGAUAUUACCGCCUGAACCACCCAUUUCUUCUUCAGUCGACAGCAGCGGUCAGCCGGACCGUCGUCGUCCUCGCCUCCCUCAUCUCUCAAGCCCCUAUAAAGAUUCGAUUUUUCCUCUUUCCCUUCCAUUUGAAAUCCCUCCAAUCCCAGCGGCGCCUGUCCUAGAACCCUAGCCUCCCUGACCCCGGCAACCGCCUCCUUCCACCCCGGCGUCCAACCGCCCUUCACCCCGGCGCAGCGCAGCCACAGCUUCUCCAUCACUUGACGGGUUUUUCUAAAGCCAAAAUCAAACACUCACAUUAGUUUGUUUGAUUUUUUGUUUCUCUGCUCGGAGGUGUUCUCUGUGCAAAAUCAGAUCAGAAAUUCAAUUGCUCAGAGGUGAUUCUAGCAACUCUGCUCGGAGGUGUUGAUCUCAGUAUUGUAGGUGCUCUUUUCUGGAAACUAUUUUGCUUCUAAUAGAAAUUUACUUUAAGAUAAAUUCCAUAAAUAUUUCCAAGUCUAUUGCAUAUUUGUCUCCUAUGAAUCGCUCUUAGGAAAAUAACGUAAUCGUUCUUCUCUUUCACUCAUCUUUAUUGUGACUGUGAGUCAUUUUCUUCGUGGUUUAUUGCAGUAUAUCAAGUUACCAGAUAAUUGUGUUAAUUGAUAAGAUAUAUCUGCUGUGAUAUGCAAUAUGUGUAAAUGAAAACAGGCACGCGAGAAAGAUAAGCAAUAACCUGAUAAUUGUGUUAAUUGAUGAGUCUUAAUAUAAACAGAAGAGUUGUUAUCCAUGUACAGAAUCUAUUUGCUUAUAUAUGCAACAGAUUUGAAUUUCAAGUGUUUAAUUUUGGCCCAGCUGACACCGGUUGUCUUGUUUUCAUAAUGCAAAUUGCUCAUUAGCUUAUCCUAUCUGCACUAUAAUAUCUUUUCCUAGACUAAGAUGAUUGUUCUUCCUUAAUUUCUUGUUAGAGGAGUUUGAAGUUGUUAUCUGACAGCCAAGUUCUGGUAUGUGUCACGUGACAAAUUGGUAUAAGAAGUUUUAUAUUGAUAGGAAACAUUAGUUCUAUAUUUCUCUACAGAAAAGGACAAGCAUUAAUUAGAUUUUAAAUAAUUUAUGUGCAUUAAUCUAUUGCUCAAUUAGCCUUGAUUACAUAUUUUCAUUAACUUGUAGGAAGAUGGCUGGUGGGAUUAGUUUCAUGACAUGUUAUGCACGAACUGAAGUCAUGCAGAACAAGUAGGUGAUAAUUUAGUGCAGAUGACCAUAACUAACAGGUGUUCAUGUAUUUUACAAUGGCUUCUGUAAACUCUUCUCUGUUUUAUUUUUCAGCCGCAGGACUUAUGGGCUUCUCUUUGAUUGGAUUUAUCCCAAUCUGCCUCACCUUCUCCCAGUCCGCCGCGCCCUUCUCCAUGGUCUGCCGUGCCUCCGUCCAGUCCCCUCAGUCCGCCGCGUCCAGUCACCUUAUUGUAGGAAUUUUGAGUCACACUCGUUUAUUUUUUAUGAUUGAUUUUCUUUGUUGUCACUUGUCCUUUUAGAGUUCUA
rnacentral:lncRNA from 1 species